rnacentral:rRNA from 1 species
ACACGUAUGAAAGACAAGCUGAAAGACUUUUCUCAAUGAUGUAAGUGGUGGUGCAUGGUCGUUCUUAGUUCGUGGAUUGAUUUGUCUGGUCUAUUCCGAUAACGAGCGAGAUCCUAUCGUUCCUAAUAGAGGUUUAAGCCAGGUUUCUCGGUCGCAAGAUCGUUUUGCUAGCUUUAAUCACAUAACUUCUUGGACGAAUCAGAGCCGAUAAGGUUCUUGAAAUGGGUUAAUAACAGGUCAGUCAUGCCCUUAGAUGUUCUGGGCCGCACGCGCGUUACAAUGGUACGCGCAAAAAGUGCACUCUGUAUGCUUCUCCGCUGUCUAAAGACAGUGGUAAACAUUAGUCCUUUCCUUGACUGGGAUAGACUAUUGUAAUUAUUGGUCUUAAACGAGGAAUUUUUAGUAGUCGCAGGUCAUUAACCUGCGACGA